ACUGUAGUUCAACAAGAGGAUCCUUUCCAGACUCACUUUUAUAUUUCAAGAAUAUGUUUUUUCUGUGAUAAAAUAUAAUCCUAUUAACCUUAGAACAUAAGAGGAAUCCGAGACAUUUAUCAUAAGGUUAGAAAAUGCAUGUGCAAUUAUUGAAAAGUAAUUAUUCUAAUAUGUUGAUGAUAAAGAUAAGCACAUAAAUGGGAAAUGUGUCAAAGAGACAACAACCCGACCAUA
rnacentral:lncRNA from 1 species